rnacentral:rRNA from 1 species
UUCGCAAUGCCCGAAAGGGUGACGAAGCGACGCCGCGUGCGGGAAGAAGGCCUUCGGGUUGUAAACCACUGUUGGGAGUUAGGAAGUGUGGAGGUGUUAAUAGCGCUUUCACUUGACUAAAGCUCCAGAGGAAGCCACGGCUAACUCUGUGCCAGCAGCCGCGGUAAUACAGAGGCGGCAAGCGUUGUUCGGAAUUAUUGGGCGUAAAGAGCACGUAGGCGGCUCUGUAAGUCAGCUGUGAAAGCCUUCUGCUUAACGGAAGAACAGCAGUUGAAACUACAGGGCUUGAGUGCGGGAGGGGAGAGUGGAACUUCUGGUGGAGCGGUGAAAUGCGUAGAUAUCAGAAGGAACGCCGGCGGCGAAAGCGGCUCUCUGGUCCGCAACUGACGCUGAGUGUGCGAAAGCUAGGGGAGCAAACGGGAUUAGAUACCCCGGUAGUCCUAGCCGUAAACGAUGGGCACUAAGUAGAGGGGUUUU